UUAGGCCUUUAUCGGAAGCAAGGCUGUUCUAGUCGUCUUCCUGGACCACGAGGAACUUGCCUGUUGCUUUGCUUAGGACUGAGCU
rnacentral:pre_miRNA from 12 species